GCUCGGAGGAAUGUGCUGUUUUCUGGGACUGUGGAGUCUGACGACACCCAUCACAUUUGGACCUUUUCCCAAUGUAAAAUGAUAUGAACAGUCAACCUAUGCCAUCACAGAGUUGGUCCUCAAAAAAGAAGUAUUAAUUGAGGUAUAUAACUGUUGACUCAAGACCAUUGAAAGUUCUCUUCCUUCUGGUGCAUCAACCAUCAGUUUUCUAGAUGAUUUCUCCUCCAUUCAAGAUGUUAGACAGGGUCCAUGAACAAUUCUGAAAUUGUUUCCCAUGUUGACAACACAGGGUUCUCUGCUUUCACUUCCACCAAACCUGGCCUGGGACAUCAGGGACAGAAUGCGG
rnacentral:lncRNA from 1 species